GCCAGACUCCUACGGGAGGCAGCAGUGGGGGAUAUUGCACAAUGGGGGGAACCCUGAUGCGGCGACGCCGCGUGGGUGAAGGAGCGUUUCGGCGCGUAAAGCCCUAUCGGCAGGGAAGAAGGAGGACGGUACCUGACUAAGAAGCCCCGGCUAACUACGUGCCAGCAGCCGCGGUAAUACGUAGGGGGCAAGCGUUAUCCGGAUUUACUGGGUGUAAAGGGGGCGCAGACGGCAGCGCAAGCCAGGAGUGAAAGCCCGGGGCCCAACCCCGGGACUGCUCUUGGAACUGCGCGGCUGGAGUGCAGGAGGGGCAGGCGGAAUUCCUGGUGUAGCGGUGAAAUGCGUAGAUAUCAGGAGGAACACCGGUGGCGAAGGCGGCCUGCUGGACUGCGACUGACGUUGAGGCCCGAAAGCGUGGGGAGCAAACAGGAUUAGAUACCCCAGUAU
rnacentral:rRNA from 1 species